GUGCUUGCUUUGGCAGCACAUAUACUAAAACUGAAAUGAUACAAAGAAGAUUAGCAUGGCCCCUGCGCAAGGAUUACAUGCAAAUUCGUGAAGUGUUCUGUAUUUCU
ensembl:snRNA U6 U6 spliceosomal RNA